GACGAACGCUGGCGGCGUGCCUAACACAUGCAAGUCGAGCGAGGGGAGUUCUUCGGAACAAACCUAGCGGCGGACGGGUGAGUAACACGUGGGUAACCUGCCUCAAAGAGGGGGAUAGCCUUCCGAAAGGAAGAUUAAUACCGCAUAAUCCAUUGUUCCCGCAUGGGAGUGAUGGUAAAGAUUUAUCGCUUUGAGAUGGACCCGCGGCGCAUUAGCUAGUUGGUGAGGUAACGGCUCACCAAGGCCACGAUGCGUAGCCGACCUGAGAGGGUGAGCGGCCACAAUGGAACAGAGAGACGGUCCAGACUCCUACGGGAGGCAGCAGUGGGGAAUAUUGCACAAUGGGCGCAAGCCUGAUGCAGCAACGCCGCGUGAGGGAUGAAAGUCUUCGGAUUGUAAAGCUCUGUUUUGGGACGAUAAUGACGGUACCAAAGGAGGAAGCCACGGCUAACUACGUGCCAGCCGCCGCCGUAA
rnacentral:rRNA from 1 species